rnacentral:lncRNA from 1 species
AAAAUAGAAAGAUUAAAUGUAACUAAAAGUUUUUAUCAUUUAAUUCCGAGAUGUCAAAAUCAAAUUUUGUAAAUGAGUAAAACAGUUGUGUUUCCGGCGACGUGGUUAGCUUUGAGAAAUCGGGUGCCAUUUUGAACUCGGUGAACAACCUUCCGAUGGAUGUCAAGGCAAAAGCGUUCAGUUGUACUGCGACAUCCUCAAGGUCUUUGUCUUCCGGGAUUAAAGACUUGGAGAAACCACGGAAUGGAAUUGUCAUGGAACUUAUCAUGGAACCCAUGGGUACGUACAAAAGGGAAAAUGAAACAGAGAAGAGAGUGAUUAAAAAAUGGUUUUUUGUUAUAAACCACAUGUUGGAUGGACUCCAUAACCGUGGGCCUUAUGCAUAUUCUAGAAGGCCCGUGUCCAUGUCCUAGAAGGCCCAUGCCCAUGUUCUAGAAGAUUCUCCUUUUAGGAUCCAUUUUAUACUUAGUGGGCUUUUGGGCUUUAGGGUUUACUAACCCAAUGAGGAUUUGUCUCCUCUCAUUAUGUAUAUAUAUGUAACGAACUUCAUUCAUUAAUACAUAGAAAAACAAUAAGUUUACAACACGUUAUCAGCACGAGUUGCUCUUAACAAAAACCCUAAAAACCCUAAACCUAAACUCGCCGAGUUCGCCCACCGCUUGAAGCUACCAACCGCCGACCGCUCGCUUUGCUCUUUGAUCGGCGAUCUCCUCCUAGCUUCAUACGUUCGUGAUAAGCUUGAUAACCGAGGUCUUUAGCUCCCGGUUCCAAUCCAUACAACCCCAAAAAGGUGAAAGGUAAAAACCAAAAACCCUAAAAGCUAAAGAACCGAUUAUGAAUUUGAACCUAACGAUCGGUGGAAACCUAAAACGAACCUUGAAUGUUUAAGUAAUCUUAUUGCUUGAAAGAUCCGUUUGUUUGAAUCGUUUAGGUUGCUAGAAAAGGAUUGAUUAUUGCUUAAACUAAACUCGCCUAAGUUGCUAGACAAGUUCUAUUGUAUAAACGAUUGCUUCUUACUUAUGAAAACCGAUCAUGAACUUGAAAUUAACAAACGGUUAAGACACUAAAAACGAAUUUUGAUUGUUUAAACGAUUGCUAUUGCUUGUGAGAUCCGAUUACUUGAAUCGUUUAGGUUGCUAGAAAAGUUGGUUAUUGCUUAUGAUAAAAUCGCCUAAGUUGCUAGAGAAAUUUUAUUAUCUAAACCUAAAAUCGUAAAACGAAAAUACAUAAGGCUAAUAACCGAAACUUUAAAGAUCUAGAAACCUAAAACUAAAACGAACCUAAUCCGAAAAUUCUAUAUGUUUAAACGGCUUGAUUGAGAUUGUUUAGGUUGAUUAGAUUGUUUGCUCCUUUGAUUGAUUACAUGCUUAUCACCCUAAAACUAAAAUUGCAUGAACCCUAGAAAACUUAGAAAAGAUAAUCCUAAAAGAAAUCUUUAAAACCCUAAAAUCUAGGAAACCCUUAAAACCCUAAAUAAAAUAGGAAACCCUAGAUAAUAGGAAAUCUUUAAAAUCCUAAAUCUUAGGGAUAAUAGAAAAUCCUAAAACCCUAAAUAAAAUAGGAAACCCUAGAUAAUAGGAAAUCUUUAAAACCCUAAAUCUUAGGGAUAAUAGGAAAUCUUUAAAACCCUAAAUCCUAGGAAUAAUAAGAAAUCCUAAAAUCUUAAAUAAAAUAGGAAAUCCUAAACCCUAAAAAAUAUUAAAUAAAAAAUAGGAAAUCUUAAAACUCUAUGAGGAAAGUCAAAUCCUUAAGUAAAUCGAUUCAUGUUUGGUUUUUAAAACCACAUGACAUUAACGAUUACAUGAUUUUGACUCAAUCUUCUUUUGCUUGUAGAUGUCGAAAACAAAGAACCUCGAGUUUUCUGCACUCAACGUUUCCGGCGACAACUACUUACAAUGGGCAUUGGACAUUAAGAUAGCCCUUGAAUCCAAAGAUCUCGCCGAGUGCAUUAUGGAAAACAACGAGUGUGAGAAGAGGUCGAAGUUUAAGGCGAUUGCGUUUAUACGCCAUCACCUAGCAGAGAGCCUUAAGAAUCAGUACCUUACUAUCGAGGAUCCUCUCGACCUUUGGGUCGAGUUGAAGAAUCGAUACGAUCACCAAAAGACGGUACUCUUACCGAAAGCCCAAUAUGAUUGGAAAAACCUCAGGAUCCAGGAUUUCAAAUCCGUGGAGGAGUAUAACUCCGAGCUUUUUAAGAUUGUCUCAAUCCUGAGGCUAUGUGGUGAAAAGGUGACUGAUGAUACCUUGCUUGAGAAAACAUACUCAACAUUCCACCCUAAUAACGUGGUACUUCAGCAACAAUACCGUGGAAUGAAAUUCAAAACAUAUGCAAGUUUGAUCUCCUGCUUACUCCUUGCUGAAAAGAAUAAUGAGCUAUUACUAAUGAAUAGCUCGAUGAGACCUCCAGGAUCCACACCGUUGCCGGAAGCCCAUAAGGCCGAAAUAGCCAAAGAACCUCGAGAGACCAAAGAAACCAACUACGUCCAUAGAGGAUAUCACGGUCGUGGCCGUGGUAGAGGACGUGGUGGUGGUCGUAGCAACCAUAACUCCUACGGCCGAGGAAACCACCAUGGUGGUAGAGGCCGUGGGAACAAUGGUCGAGGUCGUGGCCGCGGGAUCUUCAAACCGCAACACAAGGCCAAGUCCGUUUGCCAUAGAUGCGGAAUGGACAAUCAUUGGGCUAAGACGUGCAGGACAUCUAAACAUCUAAUCGAUGCUUAUCAAGAAAUGAUAAAGAAGAAUCCCGAAGCCAAUUUGGCUCAUCUCGAUGGUGAUGGAGAUUUUGACCAUGAGAACGAUGACCAAUUGGAAUAUGAGACUUCGGAUUGCUUAAGAGAGGAAAAUUAAAUUCGACAUCUUGUGUUUUAAUUUGCUUUAUGCUUUAAUUUACUUUAUGUUUCCAUGCUCUAUGUUUUUUUGAAUUCUAUUCUAUGUCUUUGAAUUCUAUUAUUUCUUGGAUUUAAAUUUAAAGUUUAAUUUGCCUUUAAUAUAAUCGUUUACUUUAUUAUCUAAGACAUAUUUCUUGUCAAUGGCCGAUGACAAGAAUAUACUUGUGGUGGAUAGUGGAUCGAGCCACACAAUUUUAAAAGACAAAAGAUACUUUAUAAAUCUAACAUUGAAAAAUGCCAAUAUUAGCACCAUAGCGGGUAUAGCUAGUCUUAUUGAGGGCCAUGGUCAAGCCCAUAUCCUUUUAUCAAAGGGCACGCAUCUUGAAAUAAGCGAUGCCCUAUAUUCACCCAGCUCGAAGAGGAGCUUGUUAAGUUUCAAAGAUAUAAGAUUGAAUGGUUUCCAUAUUGAAACAAAGGGUGAAGGGAACAAAGAGAUCACCCAAGGACAUAAAAAAGUCCUAGAGACUAUACCCGCAUUAUCCACUGGUCUCUACUAUGCUGAAAUCGAUAUGAUCGAAGCUAAUAUGGCAAUGAACAAAGAGUUCAUCGAGAAAUUCACUUUAUGGCAUGACCGGCUUGGCCAUCCGGGUCAUAGUAUGAUGCGUAAACUAAUAACUAAUUCAAAGGGGCACACCCUAAGAGAGAAAAGAGUUAUCCCUAAGAAUCUCACGUGUGAAGCAUGUUCACAAGGGAAACUCAUUAUAAGGCCAUCACCGGCUAAGGUAAAUAAAGAGACCUUAAAAUUUCUGGAAAGGAUACAAGGAGAUAUAUGUAUGGUCCUCAUUGAUGCAUCGACAAGAUGGUCGCAUGUUUGUCUCCUAUCUACUAGAAACCAAGUGUUUGCUAGGUUAUUGGCCCAGAUAAUAAGACUGCGAGCCCACUUUCCAGAUUUUCCGCUUAAGACUAUACGUCUAGACAAUGCCAGUGAAUUCACGUCCCAAGCGUUUAAUGACUACUGUAUGUCCAUGGGGGUAAGUGUGGAACAUCCCGUAGCACAUGUACAUACACAGAAUGGAUUAGCGGAAUCCUUCAUUAAACGAAUUCAAUUGAUAGUUCGACCAUUACUCAUGAGGUCGAAGCUUCCAGUAGCCGCUUGGAGACACACUGUUUUACAUGCAUCAGAGCUUAUACGCAUAAGGCCAUCUAGUGAACAUAGAUAUUCACCAUCCCAAUUACUCAUGGGUCAUGAGCCAGACAUAUCCCAUCUAAAGACUUUCGGGUGUGCCAUAUAUGUACCGAUUGCUCCACCACAUAGAACAAAGAUGGGACCUCAAAGGAGGAUGGGAAUAUAUGUUGGAUUUGAUUCUCCCACCAUUAUUAAGUAUCUAGAGCCAACUACGGGUGAUCUAUUUAAGGCUAGAUACGCGGAUUGUCAUUUUAAUGAAUCCGAAUUUCCUACUAUAGGUGGAGAGACGAACAAGCUGGGUAAAGCAAUAAAAGAAAUAUAAUGGAAUCAAACAUCCUUAAAUUGGCAAGAUCCUCGGACUCUGGCAUGAGAAUCAGAGGUCCAUAAGAUUAUACAUUUGAAAAGCUAGCUAAUCAAUUGCCAGAUUCCUUUGCUGACCCAAAGAAAGUUACAAAAACGUACAUACCAGCUUGUAAUGCACCAGUACGUAUUGAUAUCCAAAAGGGAAUCAAUGAAAUUGCUACCGAGUCUAACACACGAAAGAAACGUGGUAGACCAAUAGGUUCCAAAGAUAAAAAUCCUCGAAAAUCAAAGAAAGGUGCAAUAGGAAUCCGAGGUUACUAAGGAAACCAUCCCAGACAUGGAGAUAAGGCCGGCCGGCUCUAAGGUACAGGUACCAUAUAAUGUAGCUUGGGACGCCAAGCUGCAAAGUAUUAAAGGUCCUGACCAUAAUAAAUCUCAAAUCGAUUAUAUCAUGUCUGGAACAUAAUGGAACAUAUAAGAAAUGUCGACAUAAGAUGAUUUUGCAUGCAAGGUAGCACUUGAAUUUAUGAAUAUAAAUGAGGAUCAGGAGCCCACGUCUAUACUAGAGUGCACUCAAAGACUUGAUUGAUUAAAUGGUACAAGACCAUAAAACGUGGAGCUAAGAAUCAUUAAGAAAAGGAAUGAGUUUGGUCCGACCUUAAGGACACCAUUCGAUGUAAAAACCAGUAGGACACAAAUGGGUCUUUGUGAAGAAGAGAAAUGAGAAUAAUGAAAUCGUGAGAUAUAAGGCACGGCUUGUAGCACAAGGAUUCUCACAAAGACCAGGGAUAGAUUAUGAAGAAACAUACUCCCCUGUGGUGGAUGCUAAGACAUUUAAAUUUUGCUAAGUCUGGCUAUAUAAAGAAAAAGACUUGAUUUGCGGCUAAUGGAUGUAACGCCUGCAUAUUUAUAUAAGUCCACUGGAUGAUAUAUAUGAGAUUACCAGAGGGUAUUGAGCUCAAAGAUAAAGAUAAGAAAGUGUCUCGGGACCAAUACUGCAUAAGGCUGAACAAAUCGCUUUAUGGACUGAAACAAAGUGGGCGCAUGUGGUAUAAUAGAUUAAGCGAUUACUUAGUCAGAGAAGGUUAUAAAAAUGAUCCCAUCAGUCCAUGUAUCUUCAUAAAGAAAUUCGCAAACAAAGGAUUUGUGAUAAUAGCAGUAUAUGUGGAUGAUUUGAACAUCCUUGGAACCUCUGGGGAAAUCGCCCAAACAGUCAAAUAUCUAAAGAAAGAAUUCGAGAUGAAAGACCUAGGCAAGACAAAAUUCUGUUUGGGAUUGCAACUUGAGUACAUGAAUAAUGUAAUCCUUGUGCAUCAAAAGGCAUAUACUGAGAAAGUACUCAAGAGAUUCAAUAUGGACCAGGCCCACCCAUUGAGCAGCCCAAUGGUGGUGAGAAGCCUCGGAUUGGAUAGUGAUCCAUUCGGUCCAAAGAAGGAUGAGGAAGAAGUUCUCGAUCCUGAAGUGCCAUACCUUAGUGCCAUAGGAGCGUUAAUGUACUUGGCUAGCCACACUAGACCAGACAUAUGUUUUGCCGUGAACCUCCUUUGUCUAAAUUUAGUUCAUGAUCAACCCAAAGGCACUAGAAAGGUUUGAAGGAAGGUUUGGUUAAAUUUUAAAUUCUAUUCUUCCUAUGUUUGUUUAUUUGGGUUUUAUUCUAUAUUGAUCUAACCAAAGAAGGUCUAGUUUGCUUUGGUUUAGUUUGUUUUGCUGAUGCAGGUAAGAUCAGAUUAUGGCAUGGUCAAUAAAUAGGAACUACGUGUGGCUUGAUCCCUUCCAAGGGUACGUAGGCAGCCUUCUUCAAGGCGCAGCUACUACAACAUCAAAGACCAUCAUAUGAGGAGACAACACAGCCUGUAUCGCUCAGCUCAAGGACGGCUACAUCAAGGGAGAUCGGACGAAGCACAUUCUACCAAAGUUCUUCUUCACGCAUGACUUGCAAAGGGAUGGAGAAGUUCGAGUGGUACAAGUCCAAUCAUGUGACAAUUCAGCCGACCUAUUCACUAAGGCGUUACCAACAUCAACAUUGAGGGGAUGCGGAGACUUAAGGACUUACAGGGAUGACCAAAUCAGGGGGAGUAAUACGUGCUGUACUCUUUUUCCUUCACCAUGGUUUUAUCCCAAUGGGUUUUCCUGGUAAGGUUUUAAUGAGGCAGCAUCCCCCAAGCGUAUUGCUGAGAUCUUUUGGCAUCUACACGGUUAUGUCAUCCAAGGGGGAGUGUUAUAAACCACAUGUUGGAUGGACUCCAUAACCGUGGGCCUUAUGCAUAUUCUAGAAGGCCCGUGUCCAUGUCCUAGAAGGCCCAUGCCCAUGUUCUAGAAGAUUCUCCUUUUAGGAUCCAUUUUAUACUUAGUGGGCUUUUGGGCUUUAGGGUUUACUAACCCAAUGAGGAUUUGUCUCCUCUCAUUAUGUAUAUAUAUGUAACGAACUUCAUUCAUUAAUACAUAGAAAAACAAUAAGUUUACAACAUUUUUUUUUUUCUUUUCUUUUUGAGUUUUGUGAAUAAUUUGAAUGUAAAUGAAAUGAAUUGUGAAAUAAAAUAUCAAUAUUUAUAAUCAUAACCUCACGGCGUAGCUUUUUUUUUACCAGAUGGAAGCUUUCUAAUUUUAACCAAAAAGCUUCAGCUUUUGCAUGUUGUUUCACCCACGCAAUUUACUAAUGUAGUACUACUGCAAAUACAUUUGUGCAGAAACAAAUUUC